rnacentral:rRNA from 1 species
GUCGAGCAAGGAUGAAAAUCGGACUUAGUGAUCCGGUGGUUCUGCGUGGAAGGGCCAUCGCUCAACGGAUAAAAGCUACCCUGGGGAUAACAGGCUUAUCUCCCCCAAGAGUCCACAUCGACGGGGAGGUUUGGCACCUCGAUGUCGGCUCAUCACAUCCUGGGGCUGUAGUAGGUCCCAAGGGUUGGGCUGUUCGCCCAUUAAAGUGGUACGCGAGCUGGGUUCAGAACGUCGUGAGACAGUUCGGUCCCUAUCCGUCGCAGGCGUAGGAAAUUUGAGAAGACCUGUCCUUAGUACGAGAGGACCGGGAUGGACGUACCUCUGGUGUACCAGUUGUCCUGCCAAGGGCAUGGCUGGGUAGCUAUGUACGGAAUGGAUAAGCGCUGAAAGCAUCUAAGCGCGAAGCCAACUUCAAGAUAAGAUUUCCCACCGCAAGGGUAAGACCCCAGAAAGACUAUCUGGUUGAUAGGUCGAAGGUGUAAGUGCAGCAAUGUAUUUAGCUUAUCGAUACUAAUAGGUCGAGGACUUGACCAA